UUUCUGGGCAAUCGACUCAAGCUAGGCAGCGGUCCUAACUAGAGAGGCGAUGAAUCGCUUGGGCACAGCGACAAGUGUCUCGGGCGAGCUAGGACCGCAUAUGGAACUGGAAGACAAGAAGUCUCGGAUUGCACAGAUUUGGUUCGUAGGCCCCUACCCAUGAACAAGGCAAGCUUCGAAGUUUUCGCUGUGACUCGAUCUACAGGGUGUUCCAAUCCGAGGCUAUUGCGAGAAUUGGGUGUGGGCUGAUGGUUAUGGUUUGGAUCCAAAGUUUGGAUUAAUUGCGAAACAAUCUUGUGCACCCUCGUUUAGAGGUC